AUUGACGUAAACGACUUUAAUACCAAACUUCGCAAUGCACGGAAGUUCCUUGAAAAAGGAGAUAAAGUCAAAGCAUCUAUCCGCUUUAAAGGACGCGCGAUCACGCACAAAGAAAUCGGUAGAGAAGUCCUUGAACGUGUAGCUAAAGAAACAGAAGACAUUGCUGUUUUAGAAACGAAAGCUAAAAUGGAUGGACGCAGCAUGUUUAUUAUGUUAGCACCAAAAAGUGAAAAGUAAGAGGAUUUUAGGAGGAAUAUCAAAUGCCAAAACAAAAAACACACCGUGGUUCAGCAAAACGGUUCAAAAGAACAGGUAAUGGCGGACUAAAACGUCACCAU
rnacentral:misc_RNA from 1 species